UAGAGUUUGAUCCUGGCUCAGGAUGAACGCUGGCGGCGUGCUUAACACAUGCAAGUCGAACGGUGAACACGGAGCUUGCUCUGUGGGAUCAGUGGCGAACGGGUGAGUAACACGUGAGCAACCUACCCCUGACUCUGGGAUAAGCGCUGGAAACGGCGUCUAAUACUGGAUACGAGUGGCGACCGCAUGGUCAGCUACUGGAAAGAUUUAUUGGUUGGGGAUGGGCUCGCGGCCUAUCAGCUUGUUGGUGAGGUAAUGGCUCACCAAGGCGUCGACGGGUAGCCGGCCUGAGAGGGUGACCGGCCACACUGGGACUGAGACACGGCCCAGACUUCUACGGGAGGCAGCAGUGGGGAAUAUUGCACAAUGGGCGCAAGCCUGAUGCAGCAACGCCGCGUGAGGGAUGACGGCCUUCGGGUUGUAAACCUCUUUUAGCAGGGAAGAAGCGAAAGUGACGGUACCUGCAGAAAAAGCGCCGGCUAACUACGUGCCAGCAGCCGCGGUAAUACGUAGGGCGCAAGCGUUAUCCGGAAUUAUUGGGCGUAAAGAGCUCGUAGGCGGUUUGUCGCGUCUGCUGUGAAAUCCGGAGGCUCAACCUCCGGCCUGCAGUGGGUACGGGCAGACUAGAGUGCGGUAGGGGAGAUUGGAAUUCCUGGUGUAGCGGUGGAAUGCGCAGAUAUCAGGAGGAACACCGAUGGCGAAGGCAGAUCUCUGGGCCGUAACUGACGCUGAGGAGCGAAAGGGUGGGGAGCAAACAGGCUUAGAUACCCUGGUAGUCCACCCCGUAAACGUUGGGAACUAGUUGUGG
rnacentral:rRNA from 1 species